rnacentral:rRNA from 1 species
GAUGAACGCUAGCGGCGUGCCUAAUACAUGCAAGUCGAGCGAAGCGGGGACGGGGGAGUAACACGGGGAUAACCUCCUAUAAGACUGGGAUAAAUUCGGGAAACCGGAGCUAAAACGGAUACUUAAAGAUGGAUCCGCGCUGCAUUAGCUAGUUGGUAAGGUAACGGCUUCUCAAGGCAACGAUGCAUAGCCGACCUGAGAGGGUUAUCGGCCACACUGGAACUGAGACACGGUCCAGACUCCUACGGGAGGCAGCAGGAGGGAAUCUUCCGCAAUGGGCGAAAGCCUGACGGAGAAACGCCGCGUGAGUGAUGAAGGUCUUCGGAGCGUAAAACUCUGUUAUUAGGGAAGCGGUACCUAAUCAGAAAGCCACGGCUAACUACGUGCCAGCAGCCGCGGUAAUAC